GACGAACCGUGCGAACGUUAUUCGGAAUCACUGGGCUUAAAGGGCGCGUAGGCGGGCCGUCAGGUCCGGGGUGAAAGCCUCCAGCUCAACUGGAGAAGUGCCUUGGAUACCGGCGGCCUCGAGGGAGGCAGGGGCGUGCGGAACUUCCGGUGGAGCGGUGAAAUGCGUAGAUAUCGGAAGGAACACCGGUGGCGAAAGCGGCGCGCUGGAUCUCUUCUGACGCUGAGGCGCGAAAGCCAGGGGAGCGAACGGG
rnacentral:rRNA from 1 species